UCUGAAAAUUGGUAAUGAUGGCUUGAAAAAUACAUGAAAAUCGUGAAUAGCGCUGGAGAUCCUUGUAUGUUGCUUGAAAUUCGUCGGUGAAGGCGCCAAUGGCUUGGGUUAGUGAUGCUCUGCUCAAAACACUUUCGAAAUUGUGAAAUGGUGCGAAAAAAUAUUCUCCCGACAUUCGGGGUGAAAAAUUGAAAGCACAUUGAUGAAGCCGUCGUCGCCGGAAAUUCGUCGGUGAAGGUGCAACUGGACUGAGUAGAUGAAGGGCUUCUUGGAUCUGGGUCGAAAAUCUGGAAUGGUUUGAAAAAAAUAUCUCCCGACGUUUGUCUCGAAAAUCACGCCAUGGCAAACAAGAGAGAGAAUGCUUUCAGCCAUUUUUAUCGGCAAUUGGUGUCCGAAAUGGGAUUGCAGCAGCGGCAAACAGCUAAUGGACCCAUAUUUUUUUGCUUUAAUGUCUUCAUUUUUCUGGGUUAGUUGGAGCGGCGGCAGCAAGCAGGGUGGAAUCAAGAUUGGUUGUGACUAGUAUCCAAUAUUGAGGCGUGUUGUCACUUAAUUAAUGUUAGUUUGUGUUAAUUACGACAAUGAUAAUAAGUUGCAGUGGGUUUGCUUGUUUGUUAGUAUAUUGGAAAAGUUUCUAGGGAGAGAGAGAGAGAUGCUUAUGUUCAAUUCAACAGUGUGUUUUUUUAGAGAGAGAGAGUUAUGGCAGAGAGAUGCUUAUGUUGGUUAUGGCACUUGGGGUUGGGCGUCGUCUUCUUCUUUCUUCUUCUGCUUUCUCUUUCAGCUGUGUUUUAUCACAGUGCUACAACUACAGUCUUGUGACGCAACUGUGUCUCUCUCGGCUUCACACAAAUCUGAGUUUAAAUUUUAUUCAAAUAUUUAAGGCUUAAUUGUACGAAAUAUAUUCGAAUUUCAAUUUUUAAUUUAUAGUAAUUAUUUUUGUUUA